AUUGAUUAUAUUUAUUCUUCUUCUACUCUCUGUUCCAAUCUCUAUUCGUUUCCCUCCUGUGCUUUUGUACAGGACAGGGUGUGACCUCGCUCACACCAUGAGGGCCCUUGCUUUUCCCCACAUGAGCAUAUCAUCUUUGGACAUGGAUAUUCAUGGGGAGCAGUUGGGGGGAUUCCCCUUGAGUCUCCAUAAUCUUCCAGGAAAGCAUGUUCAGCUUCCCCAGAGAGGCUGGGGAGGGGGCUCUUCUUUGGGGUAAACCAAGAGCUCCACCUCCUCAAGGGGGCGACUUGGGCCUCUGGCCUCAGAGAGACACACGGGAAUUCUCUGCUAAAAAGGCCUCUGGAGGCUCAAGACAAAGUCCUCACCAUGGCCCAGAAGGCUCUACAGGACCUGGCCCUCAUUACCCCUUCACCAGAUCUCCUACCCCUCCCUCCAUCAUGCUGAGCCAGCCAAAUCAGCCUCCUCACCUUCUCACACAUGACAGACUGAGUUACACCCCGGAACUUUUCCACUGACCCGUACCGAACUCGGGGGAGGGGGGGGGCAUGCAUCUCUUUCAGAUGUUCCUCUCCUCUAGGUUUCCGCUCAAAUGUCACAAUCUUAGAAAGACCUUCCCUGACUGCUCUUUCUAGAUAGGCCCCCUCCUCUCUAUUUGACGAUUCUGAUUUAAUUUUAAUCACAGCAGUUACCAACACCUGACAAAUCACAUACCUUUGGGGGCUGAAUAGAAUAGACCCUCCAUGAGAGCAAGGGUUGUUUUUCUUCUCUUUCCCAACACCCAUAAUUUUUGAUGCAUCCUUGGAGGGAAGGAAUGAAUAGAGAGAUUCAAAGUUGUUCAGAGAAGUAGAGCUAGACAGGCCUAGAAUUCUGCCAGGGAACAUGUUCAGAGGUAACAGGAUAGUGACAAAUCCUGUGGACUUUAUCUCACAUACUCAGGGGCAUAGCAACCCCUGCGAGAUGGACUUUACCUAACAAGCAAAGGUCCCGUUGUCCUUUUCCCCCAGUACUCACAGUCAAGGACAGAGGCCUGCCCCCUCAUCAGGACUUCGGAGCCCAGUCGGGACCUUUCUCCCUCCUGCCCCUGAGGGACUUUGGCUGGCUUCCGCCAGUAGGCCUGUUCUGUAUGACCCAGUGAGGCAUAAACAAGCCCGAUGCCCAGCACAGAGAAAACGCUUGUUAAAGCUCCCUGUUAUAGUGGUGCCACUUCAGGGAGGUAAGUAUCUGUUUAGGAAGACUUCUUGCCGAGUCCACCACUCCAGCGAAUUGUGAGGUUUUCAUCCUAGCUGUAUCCUCCCUCCCUCUGUGGAUCAGCCUGGAAUGGUCCAAGGGCGUCUGAAUGGGCUCUUCUGCGAUGCCACCACCAUGGGGCGCGCGAGAUGAAACAGUUCUGUCCUGGGAUGUACCACUGAGGGGCGGAGGUAAGGCCAUCCACUCAGGAGGGUACCGUUAGGGAGGCGGCUCCAUUAUGGAAUAAUGCGUUAUGUUCCAACACUGAGGGUCCCCUUAAACCACCUAGGGCAUCAGCCACAGUUCCCGGGAGAGGCACGCAUGGUGCCACUGGGUCCAACUUUCUUUGCUCCACUCUGUUCUCCUACAGCAUUUGAGCCGGAGCGGACACUGAGUCCCAUGCUGCAGCCUUCUUUGU
rnacentral:lncRNA from 1 species